rnacentral:lncRNA from 1 species
UAAUGUUGAAAUUAAACACGUAAGAGAGCAAUGACAUCACCAAUAAUUUGACGGAGCGUGAUUUAACUCCACAAUUUUUCUCAGCUCUACGUGUGUAUAUACAUCAACUCCAGCCGGCUUCUUCUAAAAAAGAAUUCAAUUCUUCUCUCCCAAAAGCUACGUCUUUUCUAUGUAUAUGACUUCCUCCCGACUGCCUUUUUGUCUAUAUAUAAUAAUAAAGCCCAGCAGCGGCUGGCAAUUGUGUAUUAAUUUAGCAGCAGGCCACGCAAUUGUAUGUGUGUUAUUAAAUUCCAGCAGCCCUUUUUUCGUGUGUUCCCUUCUGCCACUAUUUCAGUGUGUGUAUAUUAUUAGUGCAGCUUCUAUUGUAUGCGUAUCUCCUCCACCUCCUUUUUUCCAGCUGCCGUGUGAUGUGUGUGUGUGUGUGUGUGUGUGUAUAUAUCUCCCCAGCCAACACAGCCCUUUUGUAUAUAUAUAACCUCAAGCUGCCUUUUUGAGUCCAACAAGGAAACCGACUCCAUUUUCAAUUCAAUUCCCUUUUUUUUUCUUCCCAAUUGCCGUCUAUGUAAGUGUGAAUUUUUGUGGGUAAAAGAAUCCAAGUUAGCCACCAACUUCUCUCUUUUUUCUUUUUUC